GAGGGCUAAGCAUGAAUUUCAGAAAUUUUUAUGCGGAAAGAAUGGGUUAAACAUUUUAACCCAUAACAUGCUUGAUAUUUUAGAUAUUUUAACUCUGGUACCAGUCGAAGACAAUCUUCAACUGCACAUCACAUGUGGUACGGGCUCAGUCCCAAUACAUAGGGUGACACCCGCACGUGCCUAUCAAAGCACUCAUCAUAUGAGCCCCCGGGUGGAGAGCCACGCUUCGUCACACGAUCACGCGUGAGAGUUUCCGGGAAUUGGAUAGUCUCCACUAAUCCUUUGCUUUGACACCAAAUAUCACAAAGCCCUCAGAUCCCGAGGAUUGUGUGAUUCGAAUAAAUAUGCAUAAAUCACAAUUUCUUGUGAUUUGAAGAUUGAGAUUAUAUCUCAACCGUAAAAGAGAUCAGGUCUCUUACCUUUAGAAGGGGGUUCCUUCAAGGAUGCUUCGCAGCCGCACAAGCGUCCGGCCUCGAUGACUCGUCCACGCGAAGCUCCGGAAUGAUCAACUUCCUGGGGAGUGCUAGCUCGCAGGGAGGCAGAAGGUUGGCUGAAAUGGAGAAGGAAGAAGAUGGACCUUCACAGCUCAAGAACUCCUUCUUGGGCUUUCACCUUCAGAGCUACUCUUU
rnacentral:lncRNA from 1 species